CUUUUAUGCAAAUUCCCAGGGACUUUAACCUGAGAAAAUUUAGCAGCUGCUGGCUUGGUCUUAAUACACCUUGCCUCUCUGUAUGAUCGGGAACUAUCAGGAACUUGAUGAGCUGACAAAUGUGCUCCAUGCUUGCAACACAGCAGGGAAGAAAUUGCAGCACCUGGAAAUCCCCGUGGAAUGCAAGAGGAAGAAAAUUAGAGAAAGGAAAAUAAUUGAAGCUGGGAUUGAAAGAGCUGCUUCAAUCAGGCCAGAGACCAAAAGAAAAACAACAAUAUGUACAUUUCUCUUGUGGAGUUCCUCAGGGCUAAACUGCACCACUGAGCUAAAUUGCACAGUGCAGCAUUUAUUAAACAGGCUCUACUUUGAAGCCACCAUGGAAAUCUUGACAGUAAGGAAACAAGUUAAAUUACUGGAAGGGCUGGAGGCAAACCUACAAAUUCUAACUUCACUGAAUGUCUAAAAAGAAAAAGAAAAAAAAGAAAAACCUGCUUCUUAAAAUUGAGAAAUAAGAAAGACUCAAGAUGUCUUGAUGGUUGACCUUGAGCGUUCUUCAACUUCUUCUGUUGAGCUCAUCUUUCUUCUUUUUGUAAGUCUUUUCUCUCUCUCCCUAAGUUAGAACCGAAGACUAGUUCCCAUUAAUAUUUCAUCAGUCGUUGUGGUGGAUGGUGCUAAAAGACAAAAACAGAGACACAAAUUACAUCUCAGCAUUGGCAUAUUCCAAUUAUGUGUGAAUUAUGGCAAGUGGAUUACUUUUCCAAGCAAC
rnacentral:lncRNA from 1 species